GACGAACGCUGGCGGCGUGCUUAACACAUGCAAGUCGAACGGAAAGUCCCUGCUUUUGUGGGGUGCUCGAGUGGCGAACGGGUGAGUAACACGUGAGUAACCUGCCCUUGACUUUGGGAUAACUUCAGGAAACUGGGGCUAAUACCGGAUAGGAGCUCCUGCUGCAUGGUGGGGGUUGGAAAGUUUCGGCGGUUGGGGAUGGACUCGCGGCUUAUCAGCUUGUUGGUGGGGUAGUGGCUUACCAAGGCUUUGACGGGUAGCCGGCCUGAGAGGGUGACCGGCCACAUUGGGACUGAGAUACGGCCCAGACUCCUACGGGAGGCAGCAGUGGGGAAUAUUGCACAAUGGGCGGAAGCCUGAUGCAGCAACGCCGCGUGCGGGAUGACGGCCUUCGGGUUGUAAACCGCUUUCGCCUGUGACGAAGCGUGAGUGACGGUAAUGGGUAAAGAAGCACCGGCGAACUACGU
rnacentral:rRNA from 1 species